AACGAACGCUGGCGGCGCGCUUAACACAUGCAAGUCGAACGAGAAGCUGUAGCAAUACAGUUGUAAAGUGGCAAACGGGUGAGUAAUGCGUGGGUAAUCUACCCUAGGGUGGGGAAUAACUCCUCGAAAGGGGAGCUAAUGCCGACAUGUGCGCCACUCUCGCAAGGGAGUGAUGGAAAGCCGUACCGUGGGUGCGGCGCCCAAGGAUGAGCUCACGUCCUAUCAGCUGUUGGCGGGUAACGGCCCACCAAGGCUGCGACGGGUAGCUGGUCUGAGAGGACGACCAGCCACACUGGCACUGCGACACGGGCCAGACUCCUACGGGAGGCAGCAAGUGAGGAAUAUUGCGCAAUGGACGACAGUCUGACGCAGCGACGCCGCGGUGGGGGA
rnacentral:rRNA from 1 species